AAAUAUGCAUUUUGGGCUCCUCUUAGAGAAUUGAUCUCGUCCCCCUUGAGCCCUCUGGUCCCCCUUGAGCCCUUAGGACUGUUGGUCUGCUAUGCAGAGGCCACCACUUCCACAUGGAGCUUGUGUUCCCAGUUUGCUGUUCUCACUUGAGUUCUUCACUUACUCGGGUUACCCACUUUGUCUCCUUUGUAUUUGAGUAUUCCUGAUGUACAGUUGAUUCUGAUAAAUAUUUUAAGAUUUUAAAGAUUAUCUGUAUUAAUUUAUAGUCUAGUUCAUAUUUUACAGUAAUCUCUCAAGAAUGGGAAGUUAGAACUUAAAAAAUUGCUUUAUUUUUUUUUUUGGGGGGGGGCGGGCACACACAUGGCAUAUGGAAGUUCCUGGGCCAGGGAUCGAAUUUGGGCUGCAGCUGCAACCUAUGUCACAGCUGCAGCAAUGCUGUAUCCCUAACCCAUUGCACUAGGCCAAGGGUCAAACUCUCAGACAACACCAGAUCUUUAACAGCAGGAACUCCAUAAAUUAGUUUUUGAGGAAUUCUUUUUCUUUAUGUAUACAUGUAAAUAAUCAUCUUCCCAUUGGAAUGUCUGUAAACCUUAUGAGGUUAAUCAUGGCAAUAGUUGAAUAGGUUAUGCAUAUUGCAAACACUGUUACAUCUUUCUCCUCAGCAUUGUUCCUUAAAAUGCAAUUGAUUUUAAUAGCUAAGUUAUUAUUUUGGGGGUAGUGUUUAGAGUAGUAGCAGAUCAAUAAAAUAACUACACUUAUGGUCUACCUGAUAAAUACUGUGAGAGAAGCAAAGAUGCUCAGAACCAGUAAAUGUUUUUUUCUUUGCAAGGUAUUGAUGUCUUUUCUCAAGAUAUCCCUGGAUGGAUUGCAGAAGAAUGUGCUCAUCUUAGUGGUCUUCGUAUAUGCACCUUAAAACAAGAAGAAACGAAGAAAUGCUAAUAUGUUGUAUGAAGAAAUUAGGAUGCAGUUAAGAGAAAAAAAGGAAUAUAAUGAAGUUUAAAUGAAACAGCAACUUGAACUCACUCUCAAAACACUAAACAUGGAAUUAAGGACUGUGAAAAAUAAUCAGAACCAGGUAAGUUAAUCUUUGGUGAAAAUCUCAUAUUUCUAACACUAUUUCAUCUGUGUUAUUGAUCAUAUCCCUUUGAUAUAUAUUGUUUAAGUUUAAAACAAAAAGUUAUUUCAUCCUAAAUAUGAACUAUGACAAUUAUAGUUUAAAUUAUUAAUUUAUGGCAGUUUUUGGCUUCUAAUAGAUGCUCUGUAUAUGUUUUAUGAAUGGCCAGAAUGGAAGGUAGAUUGAGC
rnacentral:lncRNA from 1 species